CCUCGAGUGGUGGAUCACUCGGCUCGUGGGUCGAUGAAGAACGCAGCUAACUGCGUGCAGACGUGUGAACUGCAGGACACAUGAACACCGACGUUUUGAACGCAUAUGGCGGCCUGAAAUAAAUUUCAGGCCAUGUCUGGCUGAGGGUCGGAUAUAAAACAAAAACCAAAA
rnacentral:rRNA from 1 species